rnacentral:lncRNA from 1 species
AGGUCCAGCUCCAGCAGCGUCCGGUGCCAGCGGAGAGUCACCGACAGCCAGGAACCGGAACCGGAACCGGAACCGGAACCGGAACCGGAACAGCCGGGGGGAACCGACACCGAGAGACGCUCCAGCCCUGGGGACACAGGUGUGACACAGGGGUGACACAGGUGUGACACAGGUGACAAUGGCUCAGGUCCAGCUCCAGCAGCGUCCGGUGCCAGCGGAGAGUCACGGCCAGCCAGGAACCGGAACCGGAACCGGAACCGGAACCGGAACAGCCGGGGGGAACCGACACCGAGAGACGCUCCAGCCCUGGGGACACAGGGGUGACACAGGGACAGGUGUGACACAGGUGUGACACAGGUGACAAUGGGACAAUGGGACAGGUGUGACACAGGUGUGACACAGGUGACACAGGUGUGACACAGGUGUGACACAGGUGUGACACAGGGGUGACACAGGGGUGACACAGGUUACAAUGGGACAGGUGUGACACAGGUGUGACACAGGUGACACAGGGGUGACACAGGUGACAAUGGGACAGGUGUGACACAGGGGUGACACAGGUGACACAGGUGUGACAGGUGACACUGGGACAGGUGACAGAGAUGACACAGGUGUGACACAGGGGAUAAUGGGACAGGUGACACAGGUGUGACACAGGUGACAAUGGGACAGGUGACAGAAAUGACACAGGUGUGACACAGGUGUGACACAGGGGACAAUGGGACAGGUGACAAAGAUGACACAGGUGACACAAGUGUGACAGGUGACAAUGGGACAGGUGACACAGGUGUGAUACGGGUGACACAGGUGUGACACAGGUGACACUGGGACAGGUGACAAAGAUGACACAGGUGUGACACAGGUGUGACAGGUGACAAUGGGACAGGUGACACAGGUGGACACAGGGACAGGUGACAAUGGGACCAGCUGUCCCCAGGUGUGUCUGGGUGUCCCCAGCUGUAUCCAGGUGUCCCCAGGUGUAUCCAGGUGUGUCCCCAGGUGUCCCAGGUGUGUCUGGGUGUGUCCCCAGGUGUGUCUGGGUGUGUCCCCAGGUGUGUCCCCAGGUGUCCCCAGGUGUCCCCAGGUGCAUCCAGGUGUCCCCAGGUGUGUCCCCAGGUGUGUCUGGGUGUGUCCCCAGGUGUGUCCCCAGGUGUCCCCAGGUGUGUCCCCAGGUGUGUCU